AUUGAACGCUGGCGGCAGGCCUAACACAUGCAAGUCGAGCGGAUGAAGGGAGCUUGCUCCUGGAUUCAGCGGCGGACGGGUGAGUAAUGCAUAGGAAUCUGCCUGGCAGUGGGGGAUAACGUCCGGAAGCGGGCGCUAAUACCACAUACGACCAGAUGGUGAAAGUGGGGGAUCUUCGGACCUCACGCUAUCAGAUGAGCCUAGGUCGGAUUAGCUAGCUGGUGGGGUAAAGGCCUACCAAGGCGACGAUCCGUAACUGGUCUGAGAGGAUGAUCAGUCACACUGGAACUGAGACACGGUCCAGACUCCUACGGGAGGCAGCAGUGGGGAAUAUUGGACAAUGGGCGAAAGCCUGACCCAGCCAUGGCGCGUGUGUGAAGAAGGUCUUCGGAUUGUAAAGCACUUUAAGUUGGGAGGAAGGGCAGUAAGUUAAUACCUUGCGGGUUUGACGGUACCAACAGAAUAAGCACCGGCUAACUUCGUG
rnacentral:rRNA from 1 species